rnacentral:rRNA from 1 species
GAUGAACGCUGGCGGCACGCUUAACACAUGCAAGUCGAGCGGAGGAAGUAAAGCUUGCUUUACUUACUUAGCGGCGGACGGGUGAGUAACACGUGGGUAACCUACCCUAUACAGGGGGAUAACGUAUAGAAAUGUACGCUAAUACCGCAUAAGCCUACGGAAUCGCAUGAUUCUGCAGGAAAACUGAGGUGGUAUAGGAUGGGCCCGCGACUGAUUAGCUAGUUGGGGAGGUAACGGCUCACCAAGGCGACGAUCAGUAGCCGGUCUGAGAGGAUGGACGGCCACAUUGGGACUGAGACACGGCCCAG